rnacentral:rRNA from 1 species
GUAGUUAGCCGGGGCUUCCUUGCAGGGUACCGUCAUUUGUUUCGUCCCCUGCGACAGAGAUUUACAACCCGAAGGCCUUCUUCUCUCACGCGGCGUUGCUGGGUCAGGCUUGCGCCCAUUGCCCAAUAUUCCCCACUGCUGCCUCCCGUAGGAGUCUGGACCGUGUCUCAGUUCCAGUGUGGCCGAUCAGCCUCUCAGCUCGGCUACCCAUCGUUGACUUGGUGGGCCGUUACCUCACCAACUAUCUAAUGGGACGCGAACCCCUCCCAAAGCGGAUUGCUCCUUUGACCUCAUCCCGAUGCCGGGUCGUGGUCUUAUGCGGUAUUAGCACUUGUUUCCAGGUGUUAUCCCCCUCAGAAGGUCAGGUUGCUCACGCGUUACUCACCCGUUCGCCACUAAGCUAUAUCCGAAAACNUAGCUCCGUUCGACUUGCAUGUGUUAGGCACGCCGCCAGCGUUCGUCCUGAGCCAGAAUCGAACCCUGA